rnacentral:lncRNA from 1 species
GAAGUAGACGUGAAUGCUAUUUACUUUUAUGCGUUUGCCUCUCAAUUCUCCAAGUAAAAUCAGGGUGACAGAGUCAUUAAAGUAACGUUAGAGAAGAGCCAGGGGAGGAGGAAAUCGCACAGCGCUGGCGCCAGGCCCCAGGGUAGGGGGAACUUCUGUGGACACCGGAGUCCAAGGCCCCCCGCUGCAGACUUCCAGCGCUGUUUUCAUUCUGAGUGCUUGGCUGGGCUUGGAGCAGCAGCCCGUGCUCCCGGUGUUUCAAGGAUCUCUACAGGCAGAAAAGGAAAAAAAAGAAAGAAAGAAGAAAAGCCGAAUACUUCACUACACG